rnacentral:rRNA from 1 species
UACGGGGGGGGGCAAGCGUUGUUCGGAAUUACUGGGCGUAAAGGGCUCGUAGGCGGCCAACUAAGUCAUACGUGAAAUCCCCCGGCUUAACCGGGGAACUGCGUCUGAUACUGGAUGGCUUGAGUUCGGGAGAGGGAUGCGGAAUUCCAGGUGUAGCGGUGAAAUGCGUAGAUAUCUGGAGGAACACCGGUGGCGAAGGCGGCAUCCUGGACCGAUACUGACGCUGAGGAGCGAAAGCCAGGGGAGCAAACGGG